ACGUGGCAAUCCAAUGCAUUCCGAUGCAGCGCACGAUUUUGCAUUUAGACCGUGGUUACUCGCAUGCCCGCCAUCUUGGAGUUCACCGAGUUCACUUUUCUUUAACUCGUCGAUCUCGCUUUUAGAUUUUAGCAAACAGAUUUUGAAAAAUACCUAAAGAAUAAUUUAAUUUUUACAAUGUAGAAAAAGGAAAAAGAUUCGUGGUGGAAAGAUUAAUGAUCGCGAAUUGGAAAUGGAUGUUUUCGAAUUUAAUAAGAUUGAUUGAAGAAUCCGCCACCAGGCGAGAUCACGGCGCUUUCGUAUCCAAGUGCAGUCACAUAAGUGCAGUACUGAUGCCACAUAAGACGCAUCGCUAUGUGACGCAGAGCGCGUGGGUUGGAUAUCAUAAUGUACGGUCUAUAUCUGACAUAUCUCGAUUCUGCGGGCCUAACUGCGUCAUACUCAAAGUGCGCGCGCUUUUCGCGUACGUAUAUGUCGCCGUUUAUGAUGCGUUUGAAACGCGUCAACGCGUUGCCCGCGAACUUUCACUUUGUUCCUUUUAUUUUUCUUUUAUCGAAUCAUGCUAUAUAACAUUUUCAAAUCGUAUUUACAUAGAUUUAUGAAUUAAUUACAACUCGUUAAUCGGUUUUCAUCAAAGUUUCAAGGAAAUUAGAUAUUGGGAAGUAAUAUGUUUUUCAACAAAAUGACGACUUAUUUUAACAUUUCCUAGAGAAACAUUAAAUAUAAUAGACGAUAAAUCAGAACGAUUUGAAUUUAAUUUCUUCGUGUAGCGCAAUUUCUAUAACCAAUAAUUAGUUUUCUCGGUGAAAGAUGUUAAAUUACUAAAUCACCGUGUCGGUAAGAGGUUAAGUACGGCAAAGAAAGCUUCUAUAAGCGUUUACUUACUUGCAUUUGUGAGUCGAACGAUUCGCGAAUAUACGCUUGACUCUUACCGAUCUUUAUUGGUGAUAGAAAGUUGGCGAGAUCGUUUUAGGAGCGAACGGAACAAACAUAUUCGAAUGAGAAGGGAUAUGUAUGUAUAUAUACAUAUGUAUAUAUAUAUAUAUAUUUUUUUUUUUUCGAGGAAUCGCUAUUGCAAUAAAAAUAAAUAGGCACGCAAUAAUAAGUAUGUACUACAUACGUACAUAGAUAGAAUAGGUAUGGUUCGGUUUAGUCAUAGUAGUCGCAUACCGGUAAGAAAAUUGAGACAUCUCGCAAGGUCGCCGAGAACUCAUAGUUCGAGUUGUAAAUCGAAAAAAGAAUGGCUGCGAUCGUUGGAGCGAUCGGCGACCGCCCGCACCUGCGCGCGCGUACCAAUACGACACGCGGAUGUAGUCUCGCGCGCAUUAGCGCGCACCGACUACUGCAACCUUCAAGAUCGACGUGCCGUAUUUGCUCUCGACGCGCUUCGGCUAAUCUCGUGUUGCUCGAGGGCGCGCGCGCGCCACGACCUCCUUUAACGUUACGCGCCAAGCCGGACGCGCUUCUACAAUACUUCUGCGAUCUUUUUUGUUCUUCUUUUUUUUCCUCUUUCUUUGUCCUUUCUUCUUUUUUUUUUCUUCCCUUCGUUCUUCUUUUUUCCUUUCUUCUGUUUUUUCUUCCACCCCCUCACCACCAACCCUUUCCGAUUCUCCCCGAUCAUUCGUCGUAGUCGUAAUGACGAUAGUUAUCGGUACGUUUGUACUUGUAAAACUUAAACUUAAUGCGCAAUAUAAAUAGAAAGCUGAUCGUUACGUAAGAAACUCUACAUACGUAUAUAACGAGUUAGUGCUACGUGCUUGGUAUCAAUCUUCGAACAAGUGGAAAUGUUUCUCUUUUUAUCCCUCGGGAAUACAUUGCUAGUUGAUCGCAAUUAUUGAUAUUACAAUAUCGGUUUGGAUACGGAACGAUUACGGUAUCUAACUGUAUUAGAAGAAUGUUCAAAUCUUCCUUCGAGAGUGAUCCUACUCGAUUAGGAUGAUCAUUAUGGUAUUCCUACGUGGUAGAUACAUAAGUGAUCGAACGAGGUGUCACGUGGCAGCUCGGCAUCGACUAUACUCGGGCUGUUUCCUUCAUGAGGAUAUACUGACUACUCCACAUGAGGUCAUGGAAUUUAAUAACGGACGAGGUCGGAGAGCGAGCUUGAGCACGCGCGCGCAUGGUCGUGCGAGAGCUCGGUGACCAGAGAGAGAGAGAGAGAGAGAGAGAGAGAGAGAGAGAGAGAAAGAGAGAGAGGGAGAGAGAAAGAGAGAAAGAAAGAAAGAGAAACAGAGAAGGACGACGACAACGAAGACGACGAAGACGACGAAGACUAAGAAGAAGAAGAAGAAGAAGAGGAGGUUGCGCUCAUUCAUAGGAAUUUUACAGGUUGUCAGGCAGGUUUGACCGGCCUUUGUCAUGGAGGUAACGCGGAGGAGAGGAGCCACGGAGUGAGAGAUAUCUGUCCGGCCACAGGAGGACGAAUCACGGAUGAAUUUAGACACGGCAUACCUGGAGACCACCGUAGCACACAACAAAACGUGACCCGAGAGAGUUUCACUACUCUUUGAUUCUUUGAAGAGCAGGAAGCUGCUCUCCAAUAUAUACCUAUAUAUCUAAAGUAGAUUUAUUGGACAUCUAAUAUUAAUAUUUACAUAUUAAAAUAUGCAAAAUUAUGAAAAUGCCACUAGGAAGAAAGUGAACGCGGAUAUCCUAAAUCCUUAUUUACUUGGCGUUCAAAGCCAUACUUUAGAUCACUAUAUACGAUGGGGAAAAUAAUUGUACUGUUUACCCUACGUGUGCUAAUACACGUUGUAAGUACGGUAUAUACAAUACCAGCGAAAGAUAUCCCAUGCCGAGGCUCACGGAGGACUCGUGAACCGCCUCUUUUAUCCGGGGCGCAAUUGAGUCAACGGCCUUUCGAAAGAAGUAACGGUAUACGAUUAUUACUCCUACCGAGUCCUAUACUCACGAAACUCAACAUUCGCGUGCACGCGCGCGCACAGGAGAGAGAGAGAGAGAGAGAGAGAGAGAGAGAGAGAGAGAGAGAGAGAGAGAGCCUUCCAUAGCAUGCUUUUAUGGAUGCAGCGAGAGAGAGAGAGAGAGAGGGAGAGAGAGAGAGAGAGAGAGAGAGAGAGAGAGAGAGAGAGAGAGAAAGUCAGAUCCUCAGCGCAGAGGAUUUCGCGGUGGCUGGCAUUGCCGCGUACCGGUCGAUUUACGCGCUCGUUUGCAGGUAUGCCAAGCAUGUAAGGUCUCUAACGCUGAAACGCCGGUCGUCCGGACAAAACGAGUGGGAGGAAGGGCAGCCGCAGGUUGACGAGAGGCGAGAGAGGUGGGAGGAACCCGUGUAAGAGGGUGGAAAGAGGAAGGAAUUGGAUGGGAGUGAGAAGGUAGAAAGAAGGAGAGAACUCCUCACUCUACUCUCUUUCUCUUUCUUUUUCUCUUUCUCUUUCUUUCUCUCUUUCUCUCUUUCUCUCUCUCUCUCUCUCUCUCUCUCUCUUUCUCUCUUUCUCUCUUUCUCUCGAGGGAGUGCAUUGCUUGCGCACACCUACACAGAAAAGGCCAGCUACACACUGGACGGGGGAAGGCACAUGGUUACGUAGCAGCUCGUUGCCUGACUGUCCCGACUCAUGCCCUGCUGGCACGACACACUCUUUAAAACUCGACGUAGGAGAUACGCCGAGUGUGUUUGAGAGAGAAGAGACUAACCGGCAACGAGGACGGUGGGAAGGAAAGCAAAGAAAGAGAAAGACAGUAAGUUGAAAAGAAAGGAGACGAGGAAAGAAGAGGAAAGAAAAAGAAUGCAUUUGGAUUACUCGAUAGAAAGAGAGAAACGAGUAGGUGGGUAUGUUAAAAAAAGUUAGGGAGCGGGUGGGAGUCCCCGAGACUGACCGGACAAGACGAUGAGGACGACGAACGAAAGAACCAACAGCAACUCUGCUUAUAUUAUAGAACACACUAUCGAGAAGAUAUAACCACCAGCGCCACGCUACGGUGGGAAUUCGUUUCUCUGGGCUCGCGCUAGUUACAUGGGUUCAUAGUAUGCCCGGUAUUUACUAAAUAAAUCAUUAAAUACAAAGUAUAAUCGAAUAUAAAUUAAUAAAAUAUUUUUGUAUAAAACAUUAUGUGGUAAUUUGUAUUGGCCAUUAAUCAUCCUGCAUUUGUUUAUCACAUAUUUAUCUUUAUAAUGAAAUAAUAAUUAAAAUUGAGAUUACUUUA